rnacentral:misc_RNA from 1 species
UAACCACUCAAGCUCUCGCUUGGUAUUGGGGUUCGCGGUUUCGCGGCCCCUAAAAUCAGUGGCGGUGCCUGUCGGCUCUACGCGUAGUAAUACUCCUCGCGAUUGAGUCCGGUAGGUCUACUUGCCAGCAACCCCUAAUUUUU